GUGCAUAUGAUGAGCUAACUCGGAUUCCCCUUCAAGACAUCAUGGAUGAUGCAGACCCGAGUUUCUGAUGCA